CCUACGGGAGGCAGCAGUGAGGAAUAUUGGUCAAUGGACGAGAGUCUGAACCAGCCAAGUAGCGUGAAGGAUGACUGCCCUAUGGGUUGUAAACUUCUUUUAUAUGGGAAUAAAAUGUUCCACGUGUGCGUUUUUGUAUGUACCAUAUGAAUAAGGAUCGGCUAACUCCGUGCCAGCAGCCGCGGUAAUACGGAGGAUCCGAGCGUUAUCCGGAUUUAUUGGGUUUAAAGGGAGCGUAGGUGGAUUGUUAAGUCAGUUGUGAAAGUUUGCGGCUCAACCGUAAAAUUGCAGUUGAAACUGGCAGUCUUGAGUACAGUAGAGGUGGGCGGAAUUCGUGGUGUAGCGGUGAAAUGCUGAGAUAUCACGAAGAACUCCGAUUGCGAAGGCAGCUCACUAAACUGCAACUGACACUGAGGCUCGAAAGUGUGGGUAUCAAACAGGAUUAGAUACCCUAGUAGUC
rnacentral:rRNA from 1 species